rnacentral:tRNA from 67 species
GGGACGUUAGCUCAGUUGGUAGAGCAGCGGACUUUUAAUCCGUUGGUCACUGGUUCGAAUCCAGUACGUCCUACCA